rnacentral:rRNA from 1 species
UUGAGGAAGAUAAUGACGGUACUCAACAAGGAAGUGACGGCUAACUACGUGCCAGCAGCCGCGGUAAAACGUAGGUCACAAGCGUUGUCCGGAAUUACUGGGUGUAAAGGGAGCGCAGGCGGGAGAACAAGUUGGAAGUGAAAUCCAUGGGCUCAACCCAUGAACUGCUUUCAAAACUGUUUUUCUUGAGUAGUGCAGAGGUAGGCGGAAUUCCCGGUGUAGCGGUGGAAUGCGUAGAUAUCGGGAGGAACACCAGUGGCGAAGGCGGCCUACUGGGCACCAACUGACGCUGAGGCUCGAAAGUGUGGGUAGCAAACAGGAUUAGAUACCCUGGUAGUCCACACCGUAAACGAUGAUUACUAGGUGUUGGAGGAUUGACCCCUUCAGUGCCGCAGUUAACACAAUAAGUAAUCCACCUGGGGAGUACGACCGCAAGGUUGAAACUCAAAGGAAUUGACGGGGGCCCGCACAAGCAGUGGAGUAUGUGGUUUAAUUCGACGCAACGCGAAGAACCUUACCAAGUCUUGACAUCCCUUGACGAUGCUGGAAACAGUAUUUCUCUUCGGAGCAAGGAGACAGGUGGUGCAUGGUUGUCGUCAGCUCGUGUCGUGAGAUGUUGGGUUAAGUCCCGCAACGAGCGCAACCCUUAUGGUCAGUUACUACGCAAGAGGACUCUGGCCAGACUGC